GAUGAAGAACGCAGCGAAAUGCGAUAAGUAGUGUGAAUUGCAGAAUUCAGUGAAUCAUCGAAUCUUUGAACGCACAUUGCGCCCCUUGGUAUCCCGAGGGGCAUGCCCGUUCGAGCGUCAUUUCACCACUCAAGCCUGGCUUGGUGUUGGGCGACGUCCCCUUUGGGGACGCGCCUCGAAACGCUCGGCGGCGUGGCACCGGCUUUAAGCGUAGCAGAAUCUUUCGCUUUGGAAGUCGGGGCCCCGUCUGCCGGAAGACCUACUCGCAAGGUUGACCUCGGAUCAGGCAGGGAUACCCGCUGAACUUAAGCAUAUCAAUAAGCGGAGGA
rnacentral:misc_RNA from 1 species